CCGUGCGAAGGUAGCGCAAUCACUUGUCUCUUAAAUGGAGACCUGUAUGAAUGGCAUAACGAGGGCUUGACUGUCUCCUCUUUCAAGUCAAUGAAAUUGAUCUCCCCGUGCAGAAGCGGGGAUGUAACCAUUAAAGACGAGAAGACCCUAUGGAGCUUUAGACACUAUAGCAGAUCAUAUUUUACCACCUACCCAAAAGGAAAAAAAUUAGAUGAAUCCUGCCCUAAUGUCUUUGGUUGGGGCGACCGCGGAGAAACAAAAAACCCCCGCAUGGACCAAAUGUUCAACAUUUACAACCGAGAGCUACAGCUCUUACUAACAGAACUUCUGACCACUAGAUCCGGCAAUGCCGAUCAAUGCACCGAGUUACCCUUGGGAUUACAGCGCAAUCUCCUCUUAGAGUCCAUAUCGACGAGGGGUUUACGAACUCGAUGUUGGAUCAGGACAUCCUUAUGGUGCACG
rnacentral:rRNA from 1 species